rnacentral:rRNA from 1 species
AUUCCAGCUCCAAUAGCGUAUAUUAAAGUUGUUGCGGUAAAAAAGCUCGUAGUUGGAUUUCUACCGAAGAUAGCCGGUCGGGUCUUCGACCUUGUAUCUGGUUUUGUCUUUGGUAUCCUCAUGGGGAACGUUGCUGCGCUUCACUGCGUGGUGCGGUAUCCAUGACUUUUACUUUGAGGAAAUUAGAGUGUUCACGGCAGGCAAACGCCCUGAAUAUAUUAGCAUGGAAUAAUAACAUAGGAUCUUCGUCCUAUUUUGUUGGUUUCUAGGGCUAAGAUAAUGAUUAAUAGGGAUAAUUGGGGGCACCUGUAUCAACGCGUCAGAGGUGGAAUUCUUGGAUUGCGUUGCGACAAACUACUGCGAAAGCAUUUGCCAAGGAUGUUUUCAUUG